UUUCUGAAGCUGGGUGCGUCUUCUUGUGCUCUUGCUUUGAGAAGAGCAAAACAGGAUAUGUCUUCUUUGAGACAUAUCAUGAGAAGACUGUCUUGAGAAGCCAGUGGUCCAAAGAGAAUGAGAGGCACAUGGAGCAGACUCAUAUGAAGCCUGCAGCCAAGCCCAGAUCAGCCACACACUUGUCAGCCACAAAGAGGUUUAACAGUGCCAUGGGGUCCCGAUUGCACUCACCAUCCACACCAUCAUGUAGGAGAAGGCUGCGAUCCACAGCGUGGAGGAAGCAAACGUCACCAUGAACCAUUUCUCCCAGCGCGGCUUGUUGCAGUUGGGUACAGUGAAGUAUAAGACGAAACUCAGUGGCCAGGUGAACGCCCAUUUCACUGUUUCCAGUUUACCCGCUGGAAAAAUGAAAACGGCCAAAAAGAAAUAAAAAGAAAAAAAUAACAAAGAACCCCAGUUAGCUUUACUUCUCUGCCGCUGCCAAGUGUCUGUACUGCUUUCCCCAGAAUUAAACCUUAUUAUAUUGCUCUUUUCCUAAAACAUUCAAAUGACUUUCCAUCACCAACGAAACCUGACAUAUAACACCAAGCAGAAUUUUCAAAAAAUUAUCCAUGGCCCACCUGCUAGUUAGGUCUCUGAAAUGACAGGGUGAAUCGCUUCUUAGUAACACCAGACUUGGGGGAUGGUUUGGCAGAUGGCCAGGUGGGAAAAAAGAGGAGGAUACUCAGGACAAAAAAGAGGCGGAAUGUGUGUAGGUGUAGGGGGUCGAAAUGGGGGUGGGGAGCUAGGAAGACCACCAGUGGGCUUCUGUUUUCCACGUUUUCUCCCGAUAAUACAGCGUCAGCGGACGCAGCGCCACCUGGUGGAAUUUCUCAGCAUGGUCUGUCAGCGCGCCGGAAUCUUCAAAGAGGAUUUGAAGGCUCUCCCUAGACUUGUAUUACUGUCCUGAUUAACUGCUAAUUCACCUCUAGAAAGAAAUACGCAUACAUAUUUCCAUGUACUCCUCAAUGCAAUCUAGAUACACAGUGUCUCUACCUUCCAGAAAGUUUUCCGUGCCUCUUUCUAGUCAACUCCUCACCCUCUACCACCAUAGAUAAUUGUUUUAACUGUUCUCCAACUUCAAAUAAAUAAAACCAUAUAGGAUGUUU